rnacentral:tRNA from 1 species
GGGGUUGUGGCUCAGUGGUAGAGUGCUUACCUAGCAUGUGUGAGGCAUUGGGUUUGAUUCUCAGAACCACA